GGUCUCCUCCUGCUGGAGCUACAGCUGUCUGUAUGUCUACUGCAGGAGUUUAGUUUAUGGAUUAAUAUCGGGAUCGUUUUACAUCUACACGUUAAAUAUGAGCAUCGGGACGUCAACAAAGAACAGAAGACUUGAGAUCUGAGCACCAGUGGACAGUGAGGACUAUGGAAGAGAAGAUGUGAUGGCUUUGUGUGGAAAGCUGCUGAUGCCAUCCUGUGUCCCUCAUCAGUCUCUCCAGGCAGCACCCAGCUAUUCUUCCAUCUUGCAGAUGAAAAUACUUUGAUAUCACCUGGACACAGCAGGAACCUACGCCAGGAUCCUGUUUGUGGACUUCAGCUCUGCC